rnacentral:rRNA from 1 species
AUGUCGAGGCCGCCGCCCCCUUUCACGCCGCAAAACCCUACCCCGGCUCCCAGACCGGGCGGUCAAUCUCCCUCCUCCACUCUUCCGGCUUCCUUCUCUAACCUCCAGAUCUCCCGCGCUCCCCCGCCAUUUGCUUCCGUCGGGCCGCCGCAAGGGGAUGGCCCCGUGCCGUCGUCGAUCCGAGGUCCGCAGGCACCCCCUCCUGGCGCCCGCCCGUUCCCUGGCAGUCCGUCGCCGCCGGGUUCGCUCUUCGCCUGCCCAGCGCCGUCUGUCCAGCAGUCUCCUCCCUUUGGCGCUCCACCCGCGGCGCAGUCGUUACAGCAGCAGAGGCCUCCCUUCAAUGGCCCGCCGCCCGUGCUGCCGGCGCAGGUGCAACGAGCGCCAUUUGGAGGUCCGCCCGCGGCAUCCCAGCCUCUUCCGUACGGUGGGCCACCUGCUGCGGUGUCGCAGCUUGCCCCUUUCGGUGUCUCUCCUGUAGCAGCAGCCCAAUCUGCUCCAUUGGGUGCCCCCCGGUAUUCAGCAGCUCAGCCACCACAGUUUAGCGGGCUGUCUGGGGCAGUGUCUCGACCUUCCUACUCUGGUGGGUCGAUCCCCCCGUUUGGGGCUGCACGGGCACCCUCGCAGCAGGGUCCUUAUGGUGGGCCUCCCCAGUUUGGCGGGGAGAGACCAGGAUUGCAGACUCCGCUAUUUGGGGCUCAGACCGCACCUGCAUCUCAGCCACCACCGUUCAUGGGGGUUCGUGGGGCAAAUGCACCAGCAUUUGGGCCUCCAGGGUGGCAAGGGCAGACACGACCAGGAACCGUGAGAAUGCCUGGCAUGCCUGGUGCCAUGCCGCCUAAUGCACUAGGCCAAGGGAUGCCAUCCACACCCACCAUGCCAUACUCUCCCCAUGCUGAAGCCCAGGUCUCUACCCCAUCCAAAAUUGACCCUAAUCAGAUUCCACGUCCUAUUACCGAGACGUCAGUUGUCAUUUUUGAGACUCGGCAAGCUGGCCAAGCAGCUGUUCCGCCGGCUGCAUCAAGUGAAUUUAUUGUGAAGGACACCGGCAAUUGCAGUCCCCGUUUGAUGCGGUGCACCAUGAAUCAGAUACCAUGUACGGGUGAUCUCUUGACAACAUCAGGAAUGCCAUUGGCUAUAAUGGUGCAACCUUUUGCUCUUCCCCAUCCUUCUGAGGAGGCUAUCCAGCUCGUGGAUUUUGGGGAGAUGGGCCCUAUCAGGUGUUCUCGCUGCAAAGCGUACAUAAAUCCAUUCAUGAGAUUCGUUGAUCAAGGGAAAAUUUUCAUCUGUAACUUAUGUGGAUUUAGCAAUGAUACUCCAAGGGAGUACUUGUGCAACUUAGGGCCUGAUGGUAGGCGACGUGAUGCUGAUGACAGGCCUGAGUUAUGUAGAGGAACAGUUGAAUUCAUUGCCACCAAGGAAUUUCUGGUUCGGGAACCAAUGCCAGCUGUCUAUUUCUUCCUUGUUGAUGUCUCCAUGAAUGCCAUACAGACUGGUGCAACUGCUGCGGCUUGCAGUGCAAUAUCCCAGUCUCUUUCUGAUCUUCCUGAAGGUCCCCGAACGAUGGUUGGGAUUGCGACAUUCGAUUCUACUAUUCACUUCUAUAGUCUGAAACGUGCUCAACAACAGCCUUUGAUGCUCAUUGUUCCUGACAUCCAAGAUGUGUAUACUCCACUUCAGAUGGACUUAAUUCUUCCAGUUUCCGAGUGCCGUGAUAGUUUGGAGCAACUACUGGAGAGCAUCCCGAGCAUGUUUGAAAACAAUAGGGUUGCUGAUUCAGCGUUUGGAGCAGCUAUGAAGGCAGGUUUCCUAGCAAUGAAGCCCACUGGUGGAAAGUUGCUUGUGUUUCAGUCGGUGCUGCCAUCAGUUGGGACUGGUUCAUUAUCUGCAAGGGAAACUGAAGGUAGAUCAAAUAUUUCGAGUGGAGAUAAGGAAGCACAUAAGCUCCUGCAGCCUGUUGAUAAGACACUCAAAACAAUGGCACUAGAAUUUGCUGAGUAUCAAGUUUGUGUAGAUGUGUUCCUUACCACACAGUCAUACACAGAUGUUGCUUCGAUAUCAGUUGUUCCCAGUACCACUGGUGGCCGGGAGGGGCUUCAAGUUCAAGACUAUUCUGGCAAUUUCUGCAAGCGCGUCCCUACUGAUAUUGAUUUGCCUGCGAUUGACUCUGACAAAACCAUAAUGGUUUCCUUUAAGCAUGAUGAUAAGUUUCAGGAGAAUUCAGAAUGUGGUUUUCAGUGUGCACUUCUUUACACCACGGUAUAUGGGCAAAGAAGGAUACGAGUUAUAAAUAUUUCACUUCCAUGCACAAGCAUGCUCAGCAACCUUUUCCGAUGUGCUGAUCUGGAAGCACAGUUUACGUAUGUUGUUAAGCAAGCUGCAAAUGGCAUUCCAUCAAGUUCCCUAUCCCAAGUUAGGGACCAAGUAACAAGUACAUGCAUCAAUAUUCUCCAGUCCUACCGACAAUAUUGUGCAUCUGUAAGUUCUUCUGGACAGUUAAUUCUUCCGGAGGCUUUAAAACUUCUGCCUUUGUAUACUCUGGCCUUAACUAAAAGCAUAGGACUGAGGAAUGAUGGGAGAUUAGACGAUCGGUCCUAUUGGGUCUCUAUUGUCUCUUCAGUUUCUGUGUCAUUAGCUGUUCCAUUGGUGUUCCCUAGGAUGAUUGCUCUCCAUGAUCUUACAUCAAGGGAUGAUGAAGAUCCCCUUAUUCCAAAUCCCCUUACUCUUAAUAGUGAGAAUAUACAGGAUAAUGGGAUUUAUUUAUUGGAAAAUGGCGAGGAUGGUUUUAUUCAUGUCAGAAAUGCGGUGAACCCUGCCACCCUCGAGCAAAUAUUUGGUUUCUCAUCUUUGGCUGGUGCACCAAAUCUGUUGGUAUUGGAGCAAUUUGAUAAUGUAUUGUCCAGAAAAGUAAAUGAAGUUGUGAAUGAAAUAAGGCGACAGAGAUGCUCCUACCUAAGACUGAGACUAUGCCAAAAGGGCGACCCAUCUGGAGAUUUCUUCCGUUCCCUGUUGGUUGAGGACAAAGCACCCGGUGGCCUUUCUUAUGUAGAGUUCCUUGUACAUGUUCACAGGCAAAUCCAGAGCAAGAUGACCUGA